GCGCCCGUAGCUCAGUUGGAUAGAGCACCUGCCUUCUAAGCAGGCGGUCGCGCGUUCGAAUCGUGCCGGGCGCGCCA
rnacentral:tRNA from 1 species